rnacentral:rRNA from 1 species
UACGGAGGGAGCUGGCGUUGUUCGGAAUUACUGGGCGUAAAGCGCGCGUAGGCGGCUUUGUAAGUUAGAGGUGAAAGCCCGGGGCUCAACCCCGGAACUGCCUUUAAAACUGCAUCGCUUGAAUCCAGGAGAGGUGAGUGGAAUUCCGAGUGUAGAGGUGAAAUUCGUAGAUAUUCGGAAGAACACCAGUGGCGAAGGCGGCUCACUGGACCGAGAUUGACGCUGAUGCGCGAAAGCCAGGGGAGCAAACGGG